CUCCAUUUUCAGUGCUUUAAACUGAGUUGUUUUCUGUACCAAUUUUUCAGCUGCACUUUUAUUAACAUGGAAUUGCACUAAAAUGUCAGCUGGAGGAGCACAUGAAUCCCAUUCUUACACCUAAGGACAUUAUUAUGAGCCGAAGGAUUUCCCUCGCCUUUUCCUUCAUGUUCCUGAAUCCCCAGAGGUUUGUCAUCAAACAUCCUCAUUCGUGACCCCCAAGGAAAAGGUGAGUGCAGCCCAAUGUAAUUGUUGAGCGUAUUAUUGGUGUUAUCCAGCCAAUGCAGCUGGGGAAGCUGCUUUAUGGCAAGAGAGAGGCUCCCUCUGUAGUCCUGAGUGGGAGAGCUGUUUCUGGAGGAAAACUCAGAGCAGAGACAUAGCUCAGCUUUUUCCAACAGAGCUUCCUACAGAGAUUUCUUGUCCAGAUGCAAAUUCACAAACCAAACUUCAUCUUUAUGAAGGGAGGAAGGGGAAAAAAAAAAAAAAAAACCCAACCAAAAAAUCCCCAAAGCACAACAAGUGAAAUAUGAAUGUUCAGAUAUCCCUCAUGCUAGAAAUCACGCUGCCUGCUGCUUGUCCUAAAUAGGCCUUCUUAGGCUACAAAAGGUUAUCGCUGGUUCCUUCUGUUGUGUCGCACAGCAGCAAAUUGCAGUAAUUAUUUAUGUUUAAUUUAAAAAUGUGUUGUUUAUUUUUUCUAAUAGGUCUUCUCAACAAGUCCUGUUUUAAUAACUCUUAUUGUCCCAACCUGCUUUCUGAAAAAGCAGAAGUGUAUUUAUGACCACACCUGUUCUGUAUCACCUGUCUGACUUUUCUUCAGUAGCCACCAAUGCUGUGACGUGAGUAUAUGUAGAAAACCCUUAGUUAUCAUUUCCUUUCUGAAACUGUGUCCUCUUCCUACCUUUUCUUCUUGAAGCUGAGCUCACAGUGCUCACUGAGGACAUGACUUCUGAUUUCUCUGGUGCAUAACGCGUCGGUAUUCUCUGUAUCCCGGCCUUUUGGCUCUGGGGCAAAUGUUUAAACACCACAGAUGCUUUGAGCAGAUGUGUCCCAGAGUUUGAUCACGCUGUGCUGAUUGAAAUGACCCGUGUGUUCUCAGGCUUCCUUCCCCUCGCCAAAUGUUAAUGUUUUUGUCCUCUGGGGCAAAUUAUUCCAAUCAGUACCGGAACUGAUGCAAUAUCAAUACAGGUACCAGCACCAGGUGUGAUACCAGAACCACUCAGGGCUGGAAAAGCCAGGCUGGCAAACUCACUUCUGUGCUGAUAAAACAUAGGGACAACUUCUUCCCAUUACUGAUAACAGAGAAUUGCCCGAACACAGAGAAAAUGAAAGAAAGUGCAGUGUGACUUCACCUGCUUGAAGGACACCUGUGUUGGCUGCAUUUGGAAGCUGGUAAUGCCCACAGAAGUAUUGAGGAAGAGCAGACUGAGUCCUGAUAGCAGCCCUGUGGGCAGAUCUGUGGAUCGUGUUUCAAACAGGUUUUUUUUUGGCUCUGAUGAGCACAUGGGAUUGAAACUUAUAAGAAGAGGAGAGUGGAUCUGGAAAAACAUGGACGGAGGGGAAACUUCUUCUCUCCACAGAAGUCCUUCAAGGUGUGACUGCUGCCUUUGAUUCCAGAGGAAGGUUUGUAAGGAACAGCUGUUGUUUAGAGGAGAUGAGGAGUUUUAAAAUGUGUGUAUUUGUUUUCAGCUAAACCUUCCUGCCUUCUUCCUCUUCCCAUUGCGGCCAUGCACAGCCCUCCUCCAUGCUUGUCUCCCUGGGUAGGAGCAUCAAAGUCUCAGAGACUGUCAAAGAAAAUGUAACGAAAACCUAUCAUUUGCCCACAGCUUUUAAGUCCGGUUUCAACUCUUCUGCUAAAACAUAAAAAUGCACAGCAGAGCUUUGCAAUACUUUCAAAGAAGACAGAAGUACUGUUUUUUCCUAUUUUCAGGGCUUUUUAGCUGAUUCCAUCAGGUGCCACAUUCCUACCUCUAAAGUGUUGUCAGUCAAAUCCAAAUUGAUUCUGCUGAGAUCCCCCUCCCAUGUUGUCAUUUUUUAGGUAGAAGGGCUGCUUCUCAGUCUCUUCUUUCCUGGAGACUCAACAGUUUCAGAAAUCAGUUGUUUGAAGAGGUCCCAAACAAACACCUGUGCCUAGGAACCUGAACUGGUCCUGUAAGCUUCCCAUGGUGAGACCUAGACUCUCCAAGGACAACUUGGUCUACCAAAGGUAUCUGUAGACGUCUGAAUUAUGAAAGGAUUGAGAGGAAACUCCAAACCUGUAUGACGUUGUUCUUGCAUUUGCUGACCAUCACAAGUAGCCAAUUCAGUCCUACUAUGGCUUGGAUCCUGUAUCUUGUAACCCUGGGCUCUGAACCUGCUGGUGAGCAGCUGCAAGUGGGAAAGAUGGUGCAAAACAAGGAGCACGACUGUUGGGCUAAGAAGAAAGCUUGGACACUUUCAGAAUUGUAAAGGAAAAUGGAAAGAACCUCAGAAACAUCACAUUCACUUUUAGUGAAUGUGUCACAUGGAAGAAUAAAUGAAGAUUAAAGAUAUUUAACUCCCUUAGUUACCCAGGGCACAAUUUCACCCUAAUGUACUGUGAUUCCGAUUUGCUAUGAAACCUUAGGCCACAAUAGAAAAGAAAAUGUUUUAUUACGGUCUUUUUUUGUAUUUUUAAUUUUUUUUUUCAGAUUUUCUUGCUCUAGCUGUGAACACCUGGAAACCCAGGCAGCAUCAGCAAAGCUCAGUGCUGUUCUUGUGCUCAUCAGCCCAUGAGAGAAGCUGACUGAAGACUGUGGUGACUGGACCACAACUGCCCCAGCAUAUUUAACUUCAAGAGAGAGUCAGCUGUUUUGUCAGCAUUCUGUGAGUUGUAGUACGAACCAGCUGGCAGUUAUGCUUCUUGAAAGCUCGCUAAGUGGGAGUAGCAUGGCUGCCCAACGUGGUCUGGGUGUCAUGGUCAUGUCAAUUAGCCUAUGACCAGUGCUUAUGUUCCUCAUUCUGGGUUGAUGGUUGGACUAGAAGAUCUUAGAGGUCUUUUCCAGCCUUAAUGAUUCUGUGAUUCUAUUCUACGAUUUUCCCAUAGGUGUGUUGUUGUUUCAUUAAGAGACGUAAUGAGGUGUUUCAGGAAGGGAUUUGUUUGUUUGUUUUGCCUUAUCUCAUGGAAUUCCCUUGUUUUCUGGGUUGCAUUUCAAUUUCAAAUUUUGUCUGGAUUCAGCCUUGAAGGGGUGUUUCAUAUUAGAUCUAUGGGAAGAAUUGAACACUACAAAAUGUGUGUUCAGAGAUGAACAGCAAUCAGCUUGACAGUUGCGUUUGACCUAAAGGAAUGAGCUAAUCUAUUCUUGGUAGUUCAGGUUUUGAGUAUCAUAGAAUUCUCACACAGGACAAGUUUGCUGGCUCAUUUUCCUGGUGUAUGCAAUAAGGAUAUAUAUUUAUUUUAGAAAAACACUUAGCCAGAAGGAACACAACAUGUAGUGAAAGAUAAAUUAUGCAGAUAAUGUUCUAUUAUGCACACAGAGUAAAAAGUACAAGGGACAUGAAUUUCCCCAGGGAGACACCUCAGAGCGGGGGAGGCUGGGACAACACAAAAAAAUAAAAUAAAAUAAGGAAAAAGAGGAAGAGGAAAAUGAAUUGACUGUAGUUAGGUCUGGCAGAUUUUGCUUAAAGGAGGAGGAAGACUGAAUGAGCAAAGAAUUGUACCAGGGGGCAAGUCCCUCUAAAGAAAUGGCUGUGUAUUGGCUAUGUCACUUGUCAAGGUCACUGCUCUUACUCAUGAGGACAGGGCUUUGACCCUGCAGGUAUUUAUGGGGCUUGGAGUGGGUGACUGGGAAGUGUAAAAAGCAUCAGUGUAGAGUAGAGAACAGCUGGCAGCUUCUCUUCCCUCCAGGCUUUCCCUGUGUUCUAAGGUGGGGAAUGCAGAAGCUUUUUGAGUUCUGGUUUGCGCAAUAUGGCCCAGUGAGGUCUGGCAGCAUGCAUUCCUGUGCGUUGUGGAGCAGUGCAAGAUCUCUGCAGCAGACAAAGCAACCCCUGCUCUUCUCAGAGAUGGACACGGAAGCCUUGCUGAGAGUGGAAUAAUAACUAUAUUGAGCAUCAGAACGUGGAGGGAGUCUGAGUGGGCAGUAACACUGCAUCAGGAACAAGAAGGCAACAGCAAGAAGUUGUUUCUCUCUUGUUCACCCCUAAAGCUAUACCUUGCAUCAGCAGGUCUCAAAGUUGGCAUUUUGAAUCAGUCCCUGCUGCUGCUUGCUCUGGUGCUCAGUUCCAGUGCAGCAGUCCUUCUGACAUGUUUGUGCUUCUCUUCACAGUGCAGCAGCCUGAAUUGUACUUAAGUGGGCAAAUUAAGGGAAUAAGGUAGGUUAUGUGUUUUUGUGUGUGUGUCGGGGGGGUUCAGAGCUUGUGAGAGCUCCAAGAGGUAGAAGUCUGCUCCUGUGACUCGCUGCAUGCAGAUUUUCCUCAGUGUGCUCAGCCUCUCCGACCCAGCUUUUGCAGUCCUUGACAUGAAGUACUGAAGGGAUGCAACAUUUCGCAGGGCAUGCUGCAACCAUCAGCAGAAGUGUAAUUGGCUCUUCCCAUGUGGCUGCCAUCACAAGCUUCAUAGCAG
rnacentral:lncRNA from 1 species